rnacentral:rRNA from 1 species
UACGAAGGGGGCUAGCGUUGUUCGGAAUCACUGGGCGUAAAGCGCACGUAGGCGGACUUUUAAGUCGGAGGUGAAAUCCUGGAGCUCAACUCCAGAACUGCCUUCGAUACUGAGAGUCUUCGAGUUCGGGAGAGGUGAGUGGAACUGCGAGUGUAGAGGUGAAAUUCGUAGAUAUUCGCAAGAACACCAGUGGCGAAGGCGGCUCACUGGCCCGAUACUGACGCUGAGGUGCGAAAGCGUGGGGAGCAAACAGG